rnacentral:rRNA from 1 species
UACGUAGGGUGCGAGCGUUGUCCGGAAUUAUUGGGCGUAAAGAGCUCGUAGGCGGUCUGUCGCGUCGGAUGUGAAAAUCCAGGGCUCAACCCUGGACCUGCAUUCGAUACGGGCAGACUAGAGUUCGGCAGGGGAGACUGGAAUUCCUGGUGUAGCGGUGAAAUGCGCAGAUAUCAGGAGGAACACCGGUGGCGAAGGCGGGUCUCUGGGCCGAUACUGACGCUGAGGAGCGAAAGCGUGGGGAGCGAGCAGG